CAACAAUACAUAUAACAAAGUCUUGAUGAGUAGAGGGCAUCCACUGAGGGACCUUUUGAUUCAUUGAGCUAGCAGAUUAGCAAUUUGUCCCAAAGCUUGGAUAUUUUUGAGAAGAGGCAGCUUGGGAUAGUUGAGAUGGUUGAUUAGUUGAAGGGAGAGGCUGCUAGAAUUCUUCGAUGAGUUGAGGAGAUCAUGAUUUCUCAGUAGAACAGCACAG
rnacentral:lncRNA from 1 species